GUCUAUUAGGUUCCAGAGUUGCUCAUGUGGCGCAUCCAAGGGUAUUGCUCCAGAAACAUAUUUGGUCGAGUUUAUCUGUUUUAUUUUGGCAAACCUCGAUUCUCCAAGAAGUCCUCGGCGUCCAGAAUGCCCAAGCGCGAAAAAUGGCGCUAUGAAUAUUCGCAAGCCAUUCAUCUCUAGAGUGUCGAGAGCAAGACACAAAGGAUUAGUUGCUAGGUGCUCCGUAUGCCUUUUGAAAUGUGGCCUGUUGGCGGGAGAGAAAUUCUUGGUGGUGGAGUGCAUGGUCGAAGAAGGCUAUACGAAAGAAUCUGUACCGC
rnacentral:sRNA from 2 species